UACGGGGGGGGCAAGCGUUGUUCGGAAUUACUGGGCGUAAAGGGCUCGUAGGCGGCCAACUAAGUCAGACGUGAAAUCCCCAGGCUUAACCUGGGAACUGCGUGUGAUACUGGAUGGCUUGAAUUCGGGAGAGGGAUGCAGAAUUCCAGGUGUAGCGGUGAAAUGCGUAGAUAUCUGGAGGAAUACCGGUGGCGAAGGCGGCAUCCCGGACCGACAUUGACGCUGAACGGCGAAAGCUAGGGGAGCAAACGGG
rnacentral:rRNA from 1 species